GUAGAUCUGGGUGAAGGAGCCCUGGCCCAGGCUCUCACCCUGGGGGACACGGGGACAUCACCAGGGGGUUCCUGUCCCCUGGGCCACCCC